rnacentral:rRNA from 1 species
AUGAACGCUAGCUACAGGCUUAACACAUGCAAGUCGAGGGGCAGCAUCAUCAAAGCUUGCUUUGAUGGAUGGCGACCGGCGCACGGGUGAGUAACACGUAUCCAACCUGCCGACAACACUGGGAUAGCCUUUCGAAAGAAAGAUUAAUACCGGAUGGCAUAAUUAUUCCGCAUGGGAUAAUUAUUAAAGAAUUUCGGUUGUCGAUGGGGAUGCGUUCCAUUAGGCAGUUGGCGGGGUAACGGCCCACCAAACCAACGAUGGAUAGGGGUUCUGAGAGGAAGGUCCCCCACAUUGGAACUGAGACACGGUCCAAACUCCUACGGGAGGCAGCAGUGAGGAAUAUUGGUCAAUGGACGAGAGUCUGAACCAGCCAAGUAGCGUGAAGGAUGACUGCCCUAUGGGUUGUAAACUUCUUUUAUACGGGAAUAAAGUUAGCCACGUGUGGCUUUUUGUAUGUACCGUAUGAAUAAGGAUCGGCUAACUCCGUGCCAGCAGCCGCGGUAAUACGGAGGAUCCGAGCGUUAUCCGGAUUUAUUGGGUUUAAAGGGAGCGUAGGCGGGUUGUUAAGUCAGUUGUGAAAGUUUGCGGCUCAACCGUAAAAUUGCAGUUGAUACUGGCGACCUUGAGUGCAACAGAGGUAGGCGGAAUUCGUGGUGUAGCGGUGAAAUGCUUAGAUAUCACGAAGAACUCCGAUUGCGAAGGCAGCUUACUGGAUUGUAACUGACGCUGAUGCUCGAAAGUGUGGGUAUCAAACAGGAUUAGAUACCCUGGUAGUCCACACAGUAAACGAUGAAUACUCGCUGUUGGCGAUAUACGGUCAGCGGCCAAGCGAAAGCAUUAAGUAUUCCACCUGGGGAGUACGCCGGCAACGGUGAAACUCAAAGGAAUUGACGGGGGCCCGCACAAGCAGUGGAGUAUGUGGUUUAAUUCGAAGCAACGCGAAGAACCUUACCAAGGCUUGACAUAUACAGGAAUAUUUAAGAGAUUAAAUAGCUCUUCGGAGUCUGUAUACAGGUGGUGCAUGGUUGUCGUCAGCUCGUGCCGUGAGGUGUCGGCUUAAGUGCCAUAACGAGCGCAACCCUUACGGGUAGUUACCAUCAGGUUAUGCUGGGGACUCUACCCGGACUGCCGUCGUAAGAUGUGAGGAAGGUGGGGAUGACGUCAAAUCAGCACGGCCCUUACGUCCGGGGCUACACACGUGUUACAAUGGGGGGUACAGAAGGCAGCUACACGGCGACGUGGUGCUAAUCCCGAAAGCCUCUCUCAGUUCGGAUUGGAGUCUGCAACCCGACUCCAUGAAGCUGGAUUCGCUAGUAAUCGCGCAUCAGCCACGGCGCGGUGAAUACGUUCCCGGGCCUUGUACACACCGCCCGUCAAGCCAUGAAAGCCGGGGGUACCUGAAGUACGUAACCGCGAGGAGCGUCCUAGGGUAAAACUGGUGAUUGGGGCU